GCGUAAACAACUGUCAGCUCCUUUUAAAUGUAUUAGCAGAGCAGUGUAGGACUGGCCUCGGUUUGAUAAGAAAUUUUUAUCUAUGCUGUCGCUAGGUUUCCUCUUUGUGCUCAGCUUCAAAUGGUCUUCGGACUGUCUCUUGAGGCAACAACAUCUUAUUGAUUGACCUCAAAUCAGGUAGGACUACCCGCUGAACUUAA
rnacentral:misc_RNA from 1 species